UACAGAGGGUGCGAGCGUUGUUCGGAAUUAUUGGGCGUAAAGGGCGCGUAGGCGGUGCGGUAAGUCACCUGUGAAAUCUCCUGGCUCAACUGGGAGCUUGCAGGCGAAACUGCCGUGCUGGAGUGUGGGAGAGGUGCGUGGAAUUCCUGGUGUAGCGGUGAAAUGCGCAGAUAUCAGGAAGAACACCUAUGGCGAAGGCAGCUCUCUGGGACGGUACUGACGCUGAGACGCGAAAGCGUGGGGAGCGAACAGG
rnacentral:rRNA from 1 species